GGCGAUCAGAUACCGCCCUAGUUCUGACCGUAAACGAUGCCAACUAGCGAUCCGCCGGUGGUAAUUACGCCCCGGCGGGGAGCUUCCCGGAAACGAAAGUCUUCCGGUUCCGGGGGAAGUAUGGUUGCAAAGCUGAAACUUAAAGGAAUUGACGGAAGGGCACCACCAGGAGUGGAGCUUGCGGCUUAAUUUGACUCAACACGGGGAAACUCACCCGGCCCGGACACCGUAAGGAUUGACAGAUUGAGAGCUCUUUCUUGAUUCGGUGGUUGGUGGUGCAUGGCCGUUCUUAGUUGGUGGAGCGAUUUGUCUGGUUUAUUCCGAUAACGAACGAGACUCUGGCCUACUAACUAGUGACAGGAUUAUUGCUGUCCUGGUUACUUCUUAGAGGGACAAGUGGUGUUCAGCCACACGAAAUUGAGCAAUAACAGGUCUGUGAUGCCCUUAGAUGUCCGGGGCUGCACGCGUGCUACACUGGAGGAAACAGCAUGCAAAACCAUUGCCGAGAGGCAUUGGUAAACCGAAGAAAAUCUUCCGUGAUCGGGAUCGGGAAUUGCAAUUAUUUCCCUUGAACGAGGAAUUCCCAGGAAGUGUGGGUCAUCAGCUCGCGUUGAUUACGUCCCUGCCCUUUGUA
rnacentral:rRNA from 1 species